rnacentral:misc_RNA from 1 species
UCUCCGUUGGUGAACCAGCGGAGGGAUCAUUACCGAGGUUACAACUCCCAAUCCCCUGUGAACAUACCAUUUGUUGCCUCGGCGGUGCCUGCUUCGGCAGCCCGCCAGAGGACCCAAACCCUUGAUUUUAUACAGUAUCUUCUGAGUAAAUGAUUAAAUAAAUCAAAACUUUCAACAACGGAUCUCUUGGUUCUG